rnacentral:rRNA from 1 species
AGGAUGAACGCUGGCGGCGUGCUUAACACAUGCAAGUCGAACGAUGAUCCGGUGCUUGCACCGGGGAUUAGUGGCGAACGGGUGAGUAACACGUGAGUAACCUGCCCUUAACUCUGGGAUAAGCCUGGGAAACUGGGUCUAAUACCGGAUAUGACUCCUCAUCGCAUGGUGGGGGGUGGAAAGCUUUUUUGUGGUUUUGGAUGGACUCGCGGCCUAUCAGCUUGUUGGUGAGGUAAUGGCUCACCAAGGCGACGACGGGUAGCCGGCCUGAGAGGGUGACCGGCCACACUGGGACUGAGACACGGCCCAGACUCCUACGGGAGGCAGCAGUGGGGAAUAUUGCACAAUGGGCGGAAGCCUGAUGCAGCGACGCCGCGUGAGGGAUGACGGCCUUCGGGUUGUAAACCUCUUUCAGUAGGGAAGAAGCGAAAGUGACGGUACCUGCAGAAGAAGCGCCGGCUAACUACGUGCCAGCAGCCGCGGUAAUACGUAGGGCGCAAGCGUUAUCCGGAAUUAUUGGGCGUAAAGAGCUCGUAGGCGGUUUGUCGCGUCUGCCGUGAAAGUCCGGGGCUCAACUCCGGAUCUGCGGUGGGUACGGGCAGACUAGAGUGAUGUAGGGGAGACUGGAAUUCCUGGUGUAGCGGUGAAAUGCGCAGAUAUCAGGAGGAACACCGAUGGCGAAGGCAGGUCUCUGGGCAUUAACUGACGCUGAGGAGCGAAAGCAUGGGGAGCGAACAGGAUUAGAUACCCUGGUAGUCCAUGCCG